UGUUACUUCUUUGUAAUAUUGUUUUUUUUUUGCUUUAUCCUGAUAUUGUAUUCUAAUUACUAAUCAUUCCACUUUAUUCUGUGCUUUCAGAAACCACACACACACAAACAGUAUUGAACAUUAUUUUCCAAAAUCAUAUCUGGAACUGGACAUAGCUGGAAUCUUUCAAGCAACAUACUGUUUGAACGUAAACUCCUCAAGUUUUACUGGAUGAAAUCACAGCAAGAAAACACAUAGGCCUAGGUGUAAUAAUCGUCUAUUUUAUUGAAGAAUUGGUGGUGGUUGAACAACAACAACAGAACUUGUUUUACGAGAGGAAACUAAACAGCAAGAAUAGACUGACAACUUAUGAAUAUCCAUAACCCAUAUUUAUGCAGUGAUUGAACAACAACAGCAUUUCCACACCCCACCUCUAAAGGCAUAGAAUUACGGAAGUUCACCUGUCACGUCAGUCAGAAAUUGCUACAGAUUUGCUGAAUAUUGCUUGAGCAUAUGGCACUUCCCAAAGCAUGGUGAAACACACAGAGCUGUGUCAUAAGCUAACCACAUGUACUUUGUAAACCUCCUCUGCUUCCUUUUCCUGGUGUCCGUCAGGCAGACUUUGCAGUGCCUCUGUGUGCGACUGCCUUCACCAGCAGUUUGAGGGACUUCGCAGGGAAAAGGCCGUGCAGUGAGGCGUAGGGGAUUGUCUGCAGCAGGACGACACCCCUCUCAUUAGGUUUUUGCUGUACUUUUGGCAGGUCAUUAAUUUACCUAUGGGGGAGAGGGAGUGGGGAGGAUGAGGGAUUGGAGAGGAUAAUGAGGCAGUGGGUAGGUGGUCCAGCUUCCCUGUGGCCGACAUGGUUGCUGUAUGGACAGUGGAGAGGACACAGACGUCUCGCUUUUCAUGCCACUUUACUGUCAGCUGUUGGCCGUUCUAUUUGAACCUUCCCUCUCUGCAUCUUCCUGCCUCCGAAUGCUAACAUCCCCUUCCUGUUCGACCUGACUGUGACACAAGCCCUGUGCUGUUGGAGAGGAGAUACUGGAAGAGUGUGGGACUGCUGUACAAACUGCCCACGUACAAAGUGUGUCCCGUGCCGAGAUGAGGAGCCAGCAUGGUCAUCACCAUGGACCCGGACACUCCAAGCCCCUCAUAAUGUUGGAUGUCAGUGGUGGACCCUGUGUAAAUCAUAAUGUAAUGGACAAAUCCUGUCAUGUCGCACGUAACAAAGAACUUGACCCCAAACCUGUGGGUUUUGGAGGGAAUAUCUUGCCAGCCUACCCUUCCAUAACAUCAGGGACUCAUCAAUGCAUACGUCCUUGUAUGGCACAAAGACCCAACCAAAUGCUCAUGUCAGGCUGCUCCUCUGUCAGAAAUAGCUUGAAGCACACUGCCUCAGAGAGAAAUGGCAAGUGGCUUUGUACUCCAGACUGGGACUCAUCAACGCAAACAGCAGGGCCAGGAGGGGUGAAAUGGCUGGCGGCCUUCCAGCUACCACAGAACUCCUGUACUUCAUCCACUGUCGGUCUGCAUCCAUCACCACCAGCAUCUUCAAAGGGACUUGGAUCUUCGUCAGUGGACAAGUGGUCCUCAGAUUUAGGGUUCUCAAUGGCUACAAGGUUGGGGUGCUCACUGUCAUUGUCAGAAUCUGAUUCCUUACUUUCAUUCUCAGACUCACUGUCAUAAUUUAUAAUCAUCUCCAGAAUUACUGCAUUUGUGAGUUGUCUCCUUUUGAAAGUCAUUGCUAAUGCUCUAGCUUAGCACACUAGCUAGAUACAUAAACAACAACACUGAAUGGCUCAGGGUGGGUGUCAGAGGUUAUGUGAUUGACUGCUGGCACGCACCACUUGUAUCAAUAAGUCACUAUCAGAAAAUGUUUUGUAUGGUAAUUAUUUACUGUUUUAUUCACGUUUAAGUACUGGUGACAAAUCAUGAAUUCCGAUUCUUGCAUAGAUUGUAAUGGACACAUACGUAUGACGUGUUAAAAUUAUUUUUUGAAGGUUGUACUGAUUAUGAUGAGCUAAGCUAAUUCUAGCUAUGUGUGGAGCCAUGUCUGUUGACAUACAAUGCAUUCUGGGUUUCACAUAAAUGUCUGUCAGACCAAAGAUGUUAUAACAAAAUGAAGUGAGGGAGGGUUCACUCAUAUUUCAAGUAAACUUCCGGAAGUGAAUGAUGGGAUGUGAAUAAUGGAAGACGACACAGCCCCUUCAACAUGCAUUCUGCAAACAGACCAAACUCAUCUUGUCGCAUCUUAUUAUCUUUGGUUAAAGCGAAAAAACAAACUUGGCGGCGCAUACUAACUACCCAUCGUCGGAUUACUUUUGAUUUCUAGAAAGUGUUUUACUCAAUUAUUUCAAUCAAUGUUGAGCUCACCCGUGAUGAGACGAAUUAUACAUAUAAUUGCUAUUAGCUAAUUCACAUUGUGGUUUCUUUCAGCCGAGAGUUAUCUAAAUACAAUCGCUUGUGUUAUGUCACAAGCUUGUGUUAUUUCCUCAGUUCCCGAUAGGACUAAUGAACCUACAUUUUCCGGUUUGGAUGAUUGUGUAUGCUGUAGCUACUUCUGUGAAGGUCUGAACAUUGGAUCCAAAAAUAAAUCUUGUCACAUUCAGGACAUAACUUUUGUGAGGACUUUUUCUGUGAAAAAACAGUGUGGCCAGCUCAAAUGCUGACUAUUGUGUCAAUCGAAACUGGCAGUUCUAUAUACGCGUUCUUGUCACACCGGUUGAUCGUAAGCUGCAGGGACCACUGUAGAAUGAUCACACCCAUGUCUGUAUGUGUGAACAUUUUUCAUUUAAAAAAAAUAAAUCUUUCAAAAUUGUG
ensembl:lncRNA